UAUGUGAUCGUCUCUCGCAUAUCAAUAAGCGGAGGAAAAGAAACUAACAAGGAUUCCCCUAGUAACGGCGAGUGAAGCGGGAAGAGCUCAAAUUUGAAAUCUUAAAGGGUUUCCCUUUACGAAUUGUAGUUUAAAGAAGUGUUUCCCGUUGAGGUUUUGGUAAAAGUUCUUUGGAAUAGGACAUCAUAGAGGGUGAGAAUCCCGUAUUUGACCUUUACUUUCAACUUUGUGAUACACUUUCAAAGAGUCGGAUUGUUUGGGAAUGCAGUCCAAAAUGGGUGGUAAAUUUCAUCUAAAGCUAAAUAUUGGCGAGAGACCGAUAGCGAACAAGUACCGUGAGGGAAAGAUGAAAAGAACUUUGAAAAGAGAGUUAAACAGUACGUGAAAUUGUCAAAAGGGAAGCGUUUGACACCAGUGUUGUUUUUCUGAAAAUCAAUUAAAGAACUGUUUAUGCUAAGUUGUUUAGACUUUAUCAGCUAACUGUUUAGUUUUGAGCCUUUCUUUAAUGCACUUUUCAGUUAACAAGUCAACAUCAAUUUCUUUUGCUGUAAAAAAGCUUGAGGAAGGUGGCUUGAGAUUCGUCUUAAGUGUUUAUAGCCUCUUGCCUAUGCAGUCGGAGAGAUUGAGGUCUGCAGCGUAGAUCCUUCGGGGCUAAAUGCAUUUGUGCUAAGUUAUAGCAUUUUAUAGACAACUUGUUGACUAUGAUUUGUCUUGUAACUUACUCGCUUAUGUUAUUUUACCUACGCUUAGGAUGUUGAGUCAUCACACAUCUCU
rnacentral:rRNA from 1 species